UUUUUUUUUUUUUAAUUCAAAAUUCUCUCUACCCCAAUUUUGUGUGACAAAAUGGGUUUAAGGUUAUAAAUACCUGUAGAAUAAAUUGUAAUUUGACAUAUAUUUAAAGUUUUAAAUGAGUUAUGUUAGAGAGAAGUUUUAGAUGAGUUAUCUUAGAGGGAAGUUUUAGAUAUAAGGUUGAAUAUUUUUAGAUGUAAUUGAUAGAUCUAUUAUUUUUAUUUGUAAAAAUUGAACACAUUCAGCUUUAAUGCAUAGUAGAAGUGUCUAUAAGUCCAUUAUUUUUAUGAUUUCACAGACAAAUGAAUCAGAAAUUUAGAAAAGAAAAUUCAUUGAAGGUAUUAAUUUCAAUAGCUUAUAAAGUUCAUGAUUGACAUAGUAAAGUUUUAAAGCAUGAGGUUUGAUUAGCAAUCACUCCCAAAGUUUAGGAUGCUGGGCUUAGUUAUUCCUUAAAAAAAAAAUUGCAUAAGUGAUACUAAAUUAGUUCAGAAUGAUUUUUUUUAAUUAAUUUAUUUAUUUUUUUGCGCUUUGAUCUCAUUUUAGGUAUGGAAUUGAGUCUCAUAUUGGUUAGAACAAGGUCCAGCUGAGCUCUGUCUAGAAAGCUAAAGCUCAUUUAAGUCUGAGCCAAGUUCAAGUGUAGGACUAAGCCAAGCCUGAACAAAGAAAAAGUUGACUUGGUUCAUUUAGAUCCUUGAUAUCUUGGUGUUUCAAUGAAUUGAGUCUUGGUAUAACUUGUGUACAGAUGCGGAAAAAUUUCCACCUGAGCCUAAAGGAAGGAAGAAGAGAAAUUGGUUGGUAUAUACCAAAAGGGACAAAAAGAAUUUGGAGCAUAAGACAGGAAAACUCAGCACCAGUUUGUUAGAGGGAAUCUCGACACCAAAGCACCAGCACAUUACCACUUUAUUGGAGGGAAUUUCGACAGCCUUAUAACAACAACAACAACAACAACAUGAAGAAAUAUAUAAGGUAGAAGAGAAUAGAGGGACGAGGAGGAGAAUUGUAUUUCUUUCUUGCUUGUAAUAGCUUGGGGCAGUGGAGUGCUUCUGGGGUGUUCUUAUAUCUUGCAUUCACCUGGAUUUUUCUCUGUUUUAUAAAUAAAUUCCUCUCUCUUCCCGUUUCCAAUAUUUUUCUGCUUUUUAAUUUGUGAUUUCUCAACUUGCUUGAUUCUUUACUCUAUCAAUUGGUCCAACCUGCCGGCGAAUGCCACAAACCAGAAUGGAAUCUCGCAUGCAAAACGGUAGAGAAGAAUCUAGCAAUUUUAGAAGAUGAUGUCUCUAACUGAUGCAUUGACCAUGAUCAAAUCCAUUCCAAGUUAUCUGCUAUUGAAAAUCUUUUGGCCACCAUUGCUAGGGGCAGAAACACUUUUGAAGAAGGGGAGAUUUCUAAUCCUUUAACUCCAGGCUGUGAACCCACUGCAGAGGGCUCUGCACAACGCCCUCCUCCUGUUAUCCAAAAACUAGAUGAAUCAGCCAUUUUUCCUAAACAGCUUGAGCUUUCCAUGUUUGAGGGCGAAGACCCGUUGGGAUGGCUAACCCAUGCUGAGCACUAUUUCGAGAUUCAUGGAACUUGAGAAGAUAGAAAAAUUUCUAUGGCUUUAAUCUGCAUGCAGGGUAACAGAUUACAUUGAUUGAGGUGGCUUCAUCAAUGGCAUCCGCAACUCACUUUUCCUCAAUUUUCUUCAUAACUUCUUUCAACAUAUGGGACUGAUAUGUUAUCCAGCCCUCCUGAACACCUCGCGGCAGUCAAACAGACCGCCUCUGUAUCUGAAUAUAUUGAAGACUUUAUUGCCAGAGUUACGCAUGUCCCUAAUCUAUCCAACCAACCUUAUCUUGGGUUUUUUCUCAAUGGGUUGCUAGAACAAAUUCGGGAUCUACUAUUCAGUCAUGAGGUGACUGACUUAGCUCGUGCCAUGGCCUCUACUAUAGAAGUUGAAUAAGAGCUACAAGUUACCCAUCCUCGUUUGUUCGCCGGUUCACCUGAUUUGGGGAGGAAGAUAAAUUCUCAUAAAGUUGGCUCUAGGGCUUCUUUUCCUUGGUCUAAAACUCACUCUACCCCAUCCACUUCUGUAUUGUCUUUGGGCUCUUCUUCCAUUAAGCCUAAUGAAAAACCCAACUCUCUAUAGACUUAGUCCAGAGCUACAUCAACUUCUUUUACUAAACCUCAAAACACUGCUCUUACCUCAAAAACACGCUCCACCCGUCAAUACAGAAUACUGAGACUUGAGGGCUAAACGACUUUAUUUUAGAUGUAAGCAACCCUAUUCAGCACUUCAUCAGUGCCCCCAACAAGUCCUUCAGAACACUGAUUGCUGCAGAGGAUGAGGAAGAUAUGGGUCAUGUGGAAAUCAUCACCGCUGAAAUUCAACAUUCUAGGCUCGAAAUUCUAGAAGUAAUAAAGGCUCAUUUCGCUCGGAUGGACUUGCCUUUCUUCUCUGCUAGUGGGAUUUCUCAUCCAAAAACUAUGAAGCUCCAAGGUAAAAUAGCUUCUACUCUAGUUAUUUUAAUGGUGGAUAGUGGUGCAAGCCACUAUUUUAUUUCACAAAAUUUGGUUUCUCUUUUAAAUCUUCCCAUUUCUACAACUUCUACUUUUGAUGUUCGUUUGGGUGAUGGACGCUGUGAAUCUUCAACUGGACUCUGUCAAAAUAUUGAAAUUAAUUUAGGUGAUGUCACAAUUGCCCCAGACUGUUAUAUUUUUCCUUUGGGUAUCUGGACAUUAUUUUAGGCAUCUCUUGGUUACAAACUUUGGAUGACAUCAAAGUCAAUUGGAGGCAACUUACCAUGUAAUUCUUACAGGAUGAUCAUCAAGUCACUCUUCAUGGUAACCCUUCUUUAUGCCAUUCUCCAAUUGGUAUUAAUUCUAUGCUUAAAUUGCAUGAUAUUGACUAUGGAGUCCUUUUAUGGGACUGUUCUUCUUUGGAAAGCACUAAUCUUUCAGAUUUAGUUGAUUUAAAUUUAGUUCAACAUGAUCAGUUGUAAGCUUUAUUAUAGAAAUUCUCUGAUGUGUUUGCUGAAUCUCUUCUUAAAUUACCUCCACCAAGAUCUACAGACCAUUCUAUUCCCCUACAUCCUAGAAUGGGACCAAUUUCAGUUCGUCCUUACCGAUAUGGACAUCAUCAAAAAGACGAAAUUGAACGUGUUAAAUCUAGUUCACUAGCUUUUCUUUUUUUCCUUUUUGCUAACUAAUUUUGUUUAUGGAAUUGAUGUAGUGUUGCAGCAUUAAAUUUAGUUUGUUCUUUUCACAAAAAUAGCUAACUAGUUUUGCUACUGGUACUGAUGGAGUUUAACAGAGUUAAAAUUUUUUGUUUAGCAGAAUUUUUUAUGUAUUUUAAUGAUAUUUUCGUCCUCAUAUCUGUAUUAGGUGGUUUAGGUGAAAAUGAGUGGAAGAGUUUAAGUUUGGGAGACAAGCUUCCUUAAUUUAUGGAGCAACCCUUUGUCACCUCCUCAUUUUAAUGGUGAAAAUUACCAUGUUUGGGCUGUAAAAAUGAGAGCUUAUCUCAGAGCUUUGGGAGUAUGGCAGUAUGUUGAGGAAAACAGAGUACCUCCUCUAUUACGUCAAAAUCCAACUCUGAAUCAGAUCAGGCAACAUGAAGAUGAAGUUGCUAAAGCUCCAAAGGCCCUGUCCUACAUCCACGUAGCUGUAUCAGAUUCUGUUUUCACCCGGAUCAUGGCUUGUGAAUCAGCACAUGAAGCUUGGAUGAAGUUGAAGACUGAAUUUCAAGGGUCUGAUAAAACAAGGCAGAUGCAAGUCACUUGAAGACACGUGGGAUAUGUCUCAGAUUUCUUUAACUGAGCUUUCUAAUGCUCUGCAAGCUGUUGAACAAAGAAAAGCUUACAGAGAAGAAAUUGCAGGGGAGAAAGCACUUGUUGCUGCUCAAAAAUCAAAACCAGGUGAAGGAGGAAUGAAGAACCAGCAAACUGACAAGAAAGACAGGAACAAAAAGAACUAUAAGAGAAAAGGAAAAGAUUUGAUAAGUUUCCACCUUGUCCUCAUUGUUAGAAGACUAAUCACACUGAAAAUUUUUAUUGGUUUUGUCCAGGAGCUCAGUGAAGAAGAUGUAAGCAAUUUGGUCAUGUAGAUAAGGUGUGCAAAGCAAAUCAAAAUCAGCAACAACAAGCUCAGCCAGCUUAAGCCACUGGUAACUCAGAAAAUUAUGAAGAUAGUUUGCUUGCUACUACUGUAACUCAGAAGAGUGAUGUUUCGGUUGAAGCUGAAGAUGUAUGGCUUGUUGAUAGUGGUUGUACACAUCACAUGACAGCAGAUUUGAAGAGUUUUAAGGACUUGGACACCAGCUACUCCUCAAAAGUUAGAAUUGGAGAUGGGAGGCUGGUUGAUGUCAAAGGCAAAAGGGCUGUGGCUGUACAAACUUCCUCAGGUACUAAAGUUAUUUCAGAUGUUCUUUAUGUUCCUGAGAUAAGCCAAAGUUUACUUUUAGUUGGUCAGUUGCUUGAUAAGAAUUACACACUAGUUUUUAAAGAUAGGAAUUGUGAAUCAGUGAUCCUAUUGGUGUGAAAAAUUUUUUAGUUAAAAUGAAUAAGAAGUUUUUCCUUUGAAUUGGAAAACCACUGAAUUUGAGUGAUGUCUCAGUCAUGUUGAAGAAACAUUUUUGUGGCAUAAGAGAUUUGGUCACACCAAUCUCAAAACUUUGAAAUUGCUUCAAAGCAAGAAUUUGGUUGUUGAUAUGCCACUUGUGACUGAAAAUGAUAGUGUUUGUGAAGCAUGUCAGUUUGGGAAGUUAAGUCAGGCUCCAUUUCCAGUUGAUCAAGCUUGGAGAGCCUAAACCAAGCUGGAAUUGAUUCAUAUUGAUGUUUGUGGUCCAAUUAGCACCUCUUCCUAUGGUGACAGCAAGUAUUUUCUGUUGUUUAUUAAUGACUUUAGUUGAUAUUGCUGGGUUUAUUUUCUCAAGCAAAAAUCUGAAGUUUUCAGUAAGUUGCAGUAGCUCAAAGCCUUUGUUGAGACUCAAACUGAUUCCAAAAUCAAGAUUUUGAGGUCUGAUAAUGGAACGGAGUGUACUUCCAUUCAGUGUAAGGAGUAUUUGCAGAAGGCUGGCAUCCACCAUCAGCUUACAAUUCCCUACACACCUCACUAAAAUC
rnacentral:misc_RNA from 1 species